UACGUAGGGUGCGAGCGUUGUCCGGAAUUAUUGGGCGUAAAGGGCUCGUAGGCGGUUUGUCGCGUCGGGAGUGAAAUCCACUGGCUUAACUGGUGGCUUGCUUUCGAUACGGGCAGACUGGAGGUAUGCAGGGGAGACGUGAAUUCCUGGUGUAGCGGUGAAAUGCGCAGAUAUCAGGAGGAACACCGGUGGCGAAGGCGGGUCUCUGGG
rnacentral:rRNA from 1 species